GUGAAUACUUUGAAGGAAAAGAAGGCUGAUAAGUUGAGUAAGGGAGGGAUGAGUCGGCAAGAUGUGAGAGAUGCUGCCCGGUUGCACAUUGGUGAUACUGGUUUGCUUGAUUAUGUACUGAAAUCAAUGAAUAAUGUGAUUGUUGGAACUCAUAUUGUCCGCCGUGCAGUGAAUUCCACAACAAAGAUUUUGGAAUACUCAAUUGAUGAGCUUGACGGUGGGAUUAGGCCUGUCAGGGUCGCUGAACCAGAAGCAGAUGUGGUUCCUGAGCCCCUUCCAGUACUGCCUCUAGUUCCAGGAGCUGAUUUGUAUGGUGAUAUGGCUUUUUUGUACACAAAAGUUCUGAUGAAUUACCCUGAACCAGAAGUGAUGGAAUUGGCAAGUCAGGCAGUUCUGGACAGCAAGCACUUUGUGAAGGAGUGGCCAUUUGAGGAUGAUGAGGACCAACUAUUGAGGUUCAUAUGCCAAGCAAUGCCAAAUAUGAUUGAUCUUGAAGCUAAUAUGAAUAGAGAAUUACCUCCUGGGGAGAUUGUCAUGCUUCCAUUGCACGCCACAGUGGCAGAACUCAAGCAAGCAGCUGAGAGUGCACUGAGAGAUACUUACUGUAUUCUGGAGAAAUUUGUAGUGACGGAGAUAGAUCGCAUGGAAGAACUUGAGGACUGGGAGCUGCUGUUUGGAGCUGUUGAAUCUGGUGCAGAACUUUUUAUGAGGGGGGAUGGCAUGGAUUUAAACACUGAAUUGAGGUAUGAAGGUGGGCCUGACAAUUGGAAGGUACGAUGUGAAUGUGGGGCUCAAGACGAUGAUGGAGAGAGAAUGGUUGCAUGCGAUAUCUGUGAAGUGUGGCAGCACACUCGCUGCAAUGGCAUUGAGGACUCUGGGACUGUGCCUCCGCUUUUCAUCUGUACAGGAUGCUGUGAGUCUCUUGGGCACUCAAGGGGUGAACCUCAAGAAGAACUUGAUAAUUCUGAUGAUUUGUUGAUGAUUCCAGCUAACGAAUACGUAGCACAAUUCCUAGAAUGAGGAUAGUGUUGGAAUGCUGCUGUGAUUAUGAGUGCAAGGUGAUAAUUAAGGUUCCUUGCAUAGUUUAACCAUGUGAAGGUGAUGUACUGCAACUGCAAAUUCUGAAGUCAACCAAUAUCAUACUCAACCAACAGAUUUAGGUGAUUUUUCAUGUAUGUGUCAAUUGUUUUGACAUCUAAAAAUCAGAGUUAGCACACGAUUCUUUUUGUGCAUGAUGUAAAAUUGA
rnacentral:misc_RNA from 1 species